GAUUCAGUAGCUCAGCUGGUAGAGCAUUACACUUUUAAUGUAGGGGUCCUGGGUUCGAGCCCCAGCUGAAUCA
rnacentral:tRNA from 1 species